rnacentral:rRNA from 1 species
GAGUAGGGCGGGACACGUGAAAUCCCGUUUGAAUCCGCGAGGACCAUCUCGCAAGGCUAAAUACUAACCAGUGACCGAUAGUGAACCAGUACCGUGAGGGAAAGGUGAAAAGAACCCCGGGAGGGGAGUGAAAGAGAACCUGAAACCGUGUGCCUACAAGUAGUCAGAGCCCGUUAACGGGUAAUGGCGUGCCUUUUGUAGAAUGAACCGGCGAGUUGCGUUAGUCAGCAAGGUUAAGUCAGAAAAGACGGAGCCGUAGCGAAAGCGAGUCUGAAGAGGGC